UUAAGGGGAUGAGGCCUCUGAGGUUCCUGGGGCCAGUGAAGACCUCAGAACCGUGAGGCUUCGGGUAGGCGGGGCCGACCCUCCAGAGACUGGGCCGUUAGAAAGCUUGGAGGUGGGUCCCAUACCAGGAUUGGGCAGCCAUAGCCCUAGGGGGCGGGGCCAAGGGCCCAGGAGGCGGGUCGAGAGGAUGGAUACAUCCUAGGAUUGGGCAGUCGGAGCGACGGGAGGUGGGGCCGCGAGCCAGGCGCGUCCCAGGACCUGCAGUCGGAGACCCAGGCCGGCCGCCGGGGCGCCGGGCGGGGCUCACAGAUUGAGCCAAAGCCACUGACCCUGGAGAUGCUCAUGGGGAGGGAACCCUGGAGCCAGCCCACCUGUGUGAAAAUCCUGCCUCUGCCACUGUCUGCAUGACCUUGGCUGCGUCACUGAGAAGGGAGCUGCCACAGACUGCUCAAGGAACAGGAAGGCCAUGCCCGGAAAACAGACUGCAAUCCCGCACUCCUGCUGCCGUGGGUAGUGGAGGAAGAUGCUGUGGAAGAUGUUGCGAGGCCGGAAGACCUCCUUGGGGAAGAUGUCAAGGAGCAGGUUGUAGACAGACAGGUCCCGUUCGACGCCGUACUC